GCAGCAGAAUUGAGCCGCUUUCAAUCUUUCGCAAUCAUUUUACGCGUCGCGUUCACAGCCGCCAGACCGUAUAUGGGAAGCCGGAAACUGAGCACGCGACACAUGAACACGCAGCUUUUUCAUGAGUUUGAAUGAUCAAAAAUGUCCUAAAACGAAUAUCAGCUCAAGAAGGCGAUGGAUGCAAGAGGACACGAACAAAGCCUUUCAUAGCUGGAAAGAGCAAACAACUGCAAACGCUUGAAAAGAGACGCCGAAGUUGCGUUGUUUCUUUUUGAUAGUGAUCCUGACAUAAACCAAGACGUCUCCUCCACUGAUGAUAAACAAUGGUAAUGGAUCCAGCACAUGGUUUUGGACACACUCCUGCGUCCCUUCAUCACAGAUUGAGCGAUGAACCCCUGACUCAGUGUACAGAAAAAAUAUUCUGGAUGGCUAUGCUGGAUCCAAACUGCGGAUGAGCUGGGACGUCUCCUGAGAAGCCAUGUUAAUGCCAUGCUGGUUGUGGAUCUGUAUUUCACAUUAACAAUACUAGCACCCAGCUGCUUUAUGGAACCUGUAAACGUGGCUGACUCUUCAGUGCCUACACCAGUGCAGCGCAUAUACAAGUGAAAGGAUGAAUAUUACUUCAAAAUGAUAGACAUGACAGUCUUGGAAACAAAAGCAAUAUGGAUGGAAACUAAAACAUACUCUUUCCCCCCAUCAUCUGGUCACAUGGAGCUGGAAAUCUCUUCAUUGACUAUUUCAGCGAUGAUGGACAUUGCCAAGGAGAGGUCACUGGCUUAUGCAAUACACAGAGAAAGGAUCAUUGUCUUACUGUAUUUGUGUUUUAUUGAUGUCUGUUUUAAUGUCAAGGAAUAUUAUACAUUUGGAUGGGUUUUUUGGCCACCCUUCAACAUUUCACUUUAGCACUUAUAAAGCUUUAAAUUGGCUUAAAAAAAAAGAUUUAAGACUAUCUGACUCAAAUCUGUUUAGUUGUUUACAGUCUGAAAAGCAAAAUUACACAUGGAAUCCGUUUUUCUGUGGUUUAAAAUCUAAUUUUGGAAGCGUGAUUCAGUCUGAACAAUCAGAUCUCGAUUUCAAGUAGUUUUCUCAUUGUUUGCGGUGCAGCAUGUCAGUUUUCAUUAAUAUUUGUACAGUUUGUGUCACAAGUCAUACAGAAACGUGCAGGAAUGCUUACAGUAAUUUUUGCAUUUGCAUUUUCACACAAAUGCUUCAUUUAAACCUUUGAGUCACCAUGUUUGCUAAAUGCUGUUAAUGGUCCUAAUGGUUUUAAAUUUAAUAAGAUUGCAAUGGAAAUGAAGUACAUUUAAAUUAAAAUAAAUAUAACUAAAAUAAAUAUUAAUGAAAAUUAUAUAUAUAUAUAUAUAUAUAUAUAUAUAUAUAUAUAUAUAUAUAUAUAUAUAUAUAUAAUGCAAGUAGGUUUAUUAUUUAAAAUGUGCAGUAAUCUGGAGUCAUACUUCACUUAUCUCCUUAUAGGUUCUAUGUUAAGGUAUCCA